UAACAAUAUUAUUCUAUGCGUUCUUCCAGUGACCUGCACCGGGGCCGCCCCUUGGAAUGAACUCUGUUUUGACCACAUCAGGAGCUGCUUGAAUGGGAGCCACGAUGGCGGCGCUUAGGAGCCACAAUAGCGGCCAAAGUGUAAUCAGUGCCUAAGCGGCUUAUUUCAUCCGAGCCGAUCCCAGUCGGAUCUGGAGUUCCACAUCAAACACCACCAGGAAAUGGCUUGCAAUUAAAUCAAUGAGUUUCAACUGAACCGAGCGAGAGAGAGUGAGUGAGACAGGGUUCCCUCCCCUCGAAAUCCCCAGAUGAGCCAUUGUCAUUAUCUAUUCGGAUAUGCGCCUUCAAAGACUUGGCGCUGCUAACAAGAAAAUGAAACGUGAAGUAAAAAGCAGCAGAAAAAUCAUGCAAAAGUUUUUGUCGGGUUUUAUGGACUGCUAAUGGCGGCGACGCAUGCGAUUCUCGACUGGAUCCGAUCUCGACUGGAACUAACCUAACCGUUAGUUAGCCGGCCCAAUCCGACCGAGCGACGUGUGAAGUGAAAAUGAGAAGGAAAACUGAAACUGAGCUGAACUGAAACGCUGACCGCUCGGAAAGACAAAUUUGCCAAUGCUCCAUUAGUGCCUCCGUGGCGGUGCGGUCGUAAUUAAUAUAACCGAACUGAAAAAAACUCCACCAUAUCGAGCUGCAUACGAGUACAUCGAAAGGAAGCAGUCCCCCCAUUUUGAGUCGGAGAAAAAUGUGCGCGAUUGCUGCUAAUUACAGAGCAGCAGCAGCAGCAGGUCGCAGGAUUGGGCACAGGGGAGCCGAGGUAUCUGGGAUCUGGAAACUGGGAUCGGGAAUCUUGAUUCUGGUCGAAGAUGGGGCCAAACAGCGGGUAACUAAGCCACUCCUUGCGAGAGUUGGCAUUAGCCGACAUAAAUGCUAAGUGGCGUCAUCAUUUAAAACGCAUCAACAGCCCGCAAGGAUGUGGUGCUGCCAUGGCAUACAUAUGCUGCAUGCUGCUUGCUGCAUGGUGCAUGGAUUGUCAUCAGGCCACGCGGACUGGUCGGGCAUCAAUAAUCGUCAUAAAGAUCUCCAACGGUAGCCAGCGAGCGGAGAGAUAUGGUGAGAUACUCAGCGAGGUUACUUAGUUUGCGAAUACUCUAUUUCCAUGUAGAGAUACCCAG